rnacentral:rRNA from 1 species
GUCGAGGGGCAGCGGGGAGGUAGCAAUACUUUCGCCGGCGACCGGCGCACGGGUGAGUAACACGUAUGGAACCUGCCCGUAGCAGGGGGAUAAGCGGAAGAAAUUCCGUCUAAUACCGCGUAAUAACUCCGAGAGGCAUCUCAUGGAGUUUAAAGGGUAACACCGGCUACGGAUGGCCAUGCGGCGCAUUAGCUAGUUGGCGGGGUAACGGCCCACCAAGGCGACGAUGCGUAGGGGUUCUGAGAGGAAGGUCCCCCACACUGAUACUGAGACACGGACCAGACUCCUACGGGAGGCAGCAGUGAGGAAUAUUGGUCAAUGGGCUUACGCCUGAACCAGCCAAGUCGCGUGAGGGAAGACUGCCCUAUGGGUUGUAAACCUCUUUUGUCAGGGAGCAACGCCGGCUACGUGUAGCCGGACUGAGAGUACCUGAAGAAAAAGCAUCGGCUAACUCCGUGCCAGCAGCCGCGGUAAUACGGAGGAUGCGAGCGUUAUCCGGAUUUAUUGGGUUUAAAGGGUGCGUAGGCGGCAUUAUAAGUUAGUGGUAAAAUAUUGGGCUUCACCUCACUACGCCAUUAAUACUGUAGAGCUAGAGAACAGACGAGGUAGGCGGAAUAAGUUAAGUAGCGGUGAAAUGCAUAGAUAUAACUUAGAACACCGAUAGCGAAGGCAGCUUACCAGACUGAGUCUGACGCUGAUGCACGAAAGCGUGGGUAUCGAACAGGAUUAGAUACCCUGGUAGUCCACGCAGUAAACGAUGAAUACU